ACAAGUGUUUGCAAUGUUCCUGACAUUAAACAAAAUACUGCAGGAAUAUUCAAGAACCUCCAAAUCUGUAACUUCUGAGUAAAUCUGGGUCAUUUUUCAGCAGCUUAUCUAUUGUCAAAAUAGAUUUAAUUCUGUUUUGAUUUCCUCAAAAAGUCCCUGGAGGGAUUUUUAUUUGGAUUAGAACUAGAGUCUUAAUGCAACUGUGAUUCAGUAUCCCAGGUGUCUGACCUCCUAACACAAGAGCAAGCAAACCUAACUCACCAGAAAAAGAAACUGGAGGGACAGAUCUCAGCCCGGCAACAAGCAGAAGAAGCUUCACAGGAGUCAGAAAACGAACUCAAGGAAAUGAUAGAAACCCUUGCUCGGAAGCUGAAUGAGAAAUCCAAAGAGCAAAUGGAACUUCACCACCAGAAUCUGAAUCUCCAAGAAACACUGAAGAGAGUAGCAAAUUGUUCAGCUCCUUGUCCGCAAGACUGGAUCUGGCAUGGAGAAAACUGUUACCUAUUUUCCUCGGGC
rnacentral:lncRNA from 1 species